GCCCGGAGAUAGCUGGUUCUCCCCGAAAUAGCUUUAGGGCUAGCCUCAAGGUGAGAGAUACGGAGGUAGAGCACUGAAUGUCCUAGGGGGUAUUGCACCUACCGAAGACUAUCAAACUCCGAAUGCCGUCAUCUUAUACUUGGGAGUCAGACUGUGGGUGAUAAGAUUCAUAGUCGAAAGGGCAACAGCCCAGAUCGUCAGCUAAGGUCCCUAAAUGUAAGUUAAGUGGUAAAGGAUGUGGGAUUGCACAGACAACCAGGAUGUUGGCUUAGAAGCAGCCACUCAUUCAAAGAGUGCGUAAUAGCUCACUGGUCGAGUGAUCCUGCGCCGAAGAUUUCCGG
rnacentral:rRNA from 1 species